UACGUAAGGGGCAAGCGUUAUCCGGAUUUACUGGGUGUAAAGGGAGCGUAGACGGCUUAGCAAGUCUGAUGUGAAAGGCAUGGGCUCAACCUGUGGACUGCAUUGGAAACUGCCAGGCUUGAGUGCCGGAGAGGCAAGCGGAAUUCCUAGUGUAGCGGUGAAAUGCGUAGAUAUUAGGAGGAACACCAGUGGCGAAGGCGGCCUGCUGGACGGUAACUGACGUUGAGGCUCGAAAGCGUGGGGAGCAAACAGG
rnacentral:rRNA from 1 species